rnacentral:rRNA from 1 species
GAUGAACGCUGGCGGCGUGCCUAAUACAUGCCAGUCGAGCGAACGGACGAGAAGCUUGUUUCUCUGAUGUUAGCGGCGGACGGGUGAGUAACACGUGGAUAACCUACCUAUAAGACUGGGAUAACUUCGGGAAACCGGAGCUUAUCCCGUAUGAUCUUUUGACCCGCAUGGUUCAAAAGUGAAAGACGGUUUUGCUGUCACUUAUAGAGGGAUCCGCGCUGCAUUAGCUAGUUGGUAAGGUAACGGCUUACCAAGGCAACGAUGCAUAGCCGACCUGAGAGGGUGAUCGGCCACACGGGAACUGAGACGCGGUCCAGACUCCUACGGGAGGCAGCAGUAGGGAAUCUUACGGGAUGGGGGAAAGGCUGACGGAGCAACGCCGCGGGAGUGAUGAAGGUCUUCGGAUCGUAAAACUCUGUUAGUAGGGAAGAACAUAUGUGUAAGUAACUGUGCACAUCUUGACGGUACCUAAUCAGAAAGCCACGGCUAACUACGUG